AAAUUUUGUACCAUACGCGUUAUAUAGCUUUGGUUUUUGAAGAGGGGCAAUACUCACUCUUUAUAAGCGAGACCCGUCUUGCUCUUACCAAAAAGAAUUAAGACUAUAUUUGGGUUUACAAGACCAAGAUCUAUGUACCUAUCUAUGCAAGAACUAUGUUUGCUAGUUCUGCAAGGGACUCGCAAGAUGUGUGAGGUUUGUUAUCUAAAACUGAGCUUAAAACCGAACUUACCAACCAAACCACUUAUUGAUCAGCGGGUGUUAAUUUUCAAUCAAUCAGUCGUUCCGAAACGUAGAUGCCAUUCAAGGAUUUACUUUUAGCAGGCAAUUGGAGCUUAUGAAUGUCUGGAUUAAAAAUAUUGGUCAUUCGGACUUUAAGCAAAUGGAUAGAGGUAGAGUAAGAAACGUAUCGAAUCUGCCGUGCUCAUUUUGAUAUAGACGCUCUUUACAUUGGAGUAAGAAACCGGUUAAAAAUUAACAGCAAUACAAUUCCAAUAUUGUUUCUUGGCAAAAGUAGUAAUUAUUUAAACAUAUUGUUUAUUUCUGUAAAUUAUUACAUAUAAAAUAAAAUAAAAUUAUAUAUGUA